rnacentral:rRNA from 1 species
AGAGUUGAUCCUGGCUCAGGAUGAACGCUGGCGGCGCGCCUAACACAUGCAAGUCGAACGGUUAAAGCACCUCCGGGUGUGCAUAGAGUGGCGAACGGCUGAGUAACACGUGGGCAACCUGCCCCCCUCAUCGGGAUAGCCUCGGGAAACCGUGGGUAAUACCGAAUACUCCGGCACCCCCGCAUGGGGGAGCCGGGAAAGCUCCGGCGGAGGGGGAUGGGCCCGCGGCCUGUUAGCUUGUUGGCGGGGUAACGGCCCACCAAGGCGAUUAUGGGUAGCCGGGUUGAGAGACCGACCGGCCAGAUUGGGACUGAGACACGGCCCAGACUCCUACGGGAGGCAGCAGUGGGGAAUCUUGCACAAUGGGCGAAAGCCUGAUGCAGCGACGCCGCGUGCGGGACGAAGGCCUUCGGGUUGUAAACCGCUUUCAGCAGGGACGAGGCCGCAAGGUGACGGUACCUGCAGAAGAAGCCCCGGCUAACUACGUGCCAGCCGCUGC